rnacentral:rRNA from 1 species
AAUGAACGUUGGCGGCGUGGAUUAGGCAUGCAAGUCGCGCGAGAAGUCAUUUAGCUUGCUAAAAGACGGACAGCGGCGGAUGGGAGAGUAACGCGUGGUUAUGUACCCUCGAGACCGGGAUAGUGUCGGGAAACUGGCAGUAAUACCGGAUAACAUCUUCGGAUCAAAUGGUGUGAUUCCGCUUGAGGAUCGGACCGCGUACUAUUAGCUAGUUGGAGGGGUAAUGGCCCACCAAGGCUUAGAUGGUUACCGGGUGUGAGAGCAUGGCCCGGCUCACUGGGACUGAGACACUGCCCAGACAUCUACGGAUGGCUGCAGUCGAGAAUCUUCGGCAAUGGACGAAAGUCUGACCGAGCGACGCCGCGUGCGGGAUGAAGGCCUUCGGGUUGUAAACCGCUGUCAGUUAGGAGGAAAUCCAUGAGGGUUCUCUCUCAUGGUUGACCGAUUUUCAGAGGAAGGACGGGCUAAGUUCGUGCCAGCAGCCGCAGUAAGAC